UUUUUCUCCGACACUCGAAUGCAAUAAAUUGUGUCUUUUAGUUUUCGUUCGUUCAGCAUUAUGGGUAUACACAGGUAAGUAUAUCAGUGCAGCGUAUUAUACGGGCAACGGUUUCCGAAACAAAACCCAUACAUCGCGGCGGACGUGUACUGUUUUAGCGGGCGGACGCGCGUGUACACUUACCACCCGGUUCGGAAAACAUACCGGGCGCGGGAGCGUGCGUGAGUGCGUGUGCGUGUGCAGGCAGAACCGGCAGACGAGCAGACAGUAGGCCAGUACAUAAUAAUAUAAUAAUAUUAUAUACGGGUCACGUUUCGCAGGAAAAAGAGAAAAAAAAAACUACCUACAUAAUACCGAUCCCGUACCCGCCGUGACGACUACGACGACGUGUCGCAUA